GAGGUGAAAAACAGCCGAUUAAAACACCAAACUCCCAUCAAACACAAAACUCUCAUUUUUCUCCUCCCCUCCCUCUCUUUUUUUCUCUCUCUCUCUCCAGCGGCGCCGUGCAUCCAGAAAAAUAAUAAUUUUUCUCAAACCCACACUGGAUUUUUCUCCACACACUGGAUUUUGGUGGGUUUCUCUCCUCAAAUAAGUUAAGAACUUCUCCCGGUGCACUCUCUUUCUCUCUCUCUCUCCGGCGGCAGCAGAGAUCUUACCGGAGACCAACCCGAUGCCGGAGACCAGACUUCUCCGGUGACCAACCCGACGCCGGAACCCAACUUCUCUUUCUCUCUGGAUUUUUGUCAAAUAACCUGGUUUUAGUGUCAAAUAAUUGCUUAAAUGUCUGAUUUUUUCUUAUAAUAUUGAUAAAGAUCUGAAUGAAAUUGAUAAAGAAGAUCUGAUAUAUAUAUAUUAAUGAAAAGAAGAUCUGUAACGAAAUCAUUACUUAUGAGUUCUCAUAAGUAAUGAUUAUGUUCGGAAACAUAAUCAUUACUUAUGAGAACUCAUAAGUAAUGAUUUCGUUUCAGCCUUUGAUAUAUAUAUAUAUAUAUAUAUAUAUAUAUUAAUUAAGAGACAGCUCUUUUGUGCUAGGAUUAUCAAAAAGAAAUUGGUUCCGUAAUCUAACAGGGCCUAUCUAUCUUUUCAUUCAACUGUUACCCAGGCUAUUUAAACUCUCGUAGGUUUACGACUUAGAAUCUGGGCGUCAGAAUCAGAACGUCUGUCUGCCAUCGAUUUUUUUGAGGAGAUAUGCUGCAUGUAGUCCCUCUUGAAGCAGCGGUUCCAUUUUAUUUAUUGGACGGGACUUUGCCAAACUUCCAUUUGUCUUGUUUUUUCAUAAAUUGUUCUUGCUGGGUUUUGCGGCUGUUGGGAUUUUUCUGCCGUUGUUGUAUUUGUUUGUUUUUUGUUUUUAAAUUUUUGUUCAUUUAAUCCUUAUCUUGCCCAGGGUUGCGGCUGCACUUACGAACUCCCGUCGACACUCGGGAAGGGAUGCGUAGGGGAUCCUAGCGUACACAUACUACGUACAGUUAUAGGCAGUUGGAAAGAAUCUUCUACGAAAGAGAGGAGAUGCGUCGGAACUCGCCUUCGCUAUGCAAGUAUCGACCAGCUCCUAUGUGGUAAUCUUCUUUUCCAAGUUGCAAAAUGUCGUUUUUCAGGUCAUUUUAUGAAGUGUAAAUGUGUAGUUUAAUGUAUAUCUCAUUCUAUAAAAAUGCCAAACGUUUUUUUUUUUUUUUCAUGGGAGAAUCACGUACUUUUGUUUUUAAAAAGCAUCUGGCAUAUAAGUAGCAGAUGAAAAUUUCUUUAAAUUUUGUUCUUACACUUAAAAAAAUUCGUAUUCUCUCAUGUAAAUGACACAUUUUUUUACAUAUAAAGAUCACCUAUAUAGACAAAUUUUAAGAAAUAUGGAGUGAAUCCCACGGAUUGGGAGAGAAGUUUAGUAUUCAAUGUCUAAAUAAAAUUUAAAUGGCCUGAGUAAGUCCACUGUCCAAAUUAUGUAAUACACUUCUUCUCAUUCUUUUUUUUCAUUUUUUUAAAAUUAUCUUUAAAUUUAAAUAUAUGGUCCAUAUCUGGAACUCUCGUGAACCCCACAUAUCAAAUUUAAAUAUAUGGUCCAAGGUGGGUCAUAGGUGGCUUUACCUAGGUAUUGUCGUGUAUCUCAUAUCGUCAGUAGUUUAGAAUGCAAGUGCCGUGUAUCUCAAUCCGAACCCCACACCGUUGCUUAUAAUUACUAAAGACUUGCAGAGUUAUCCUCAAAGGACCUUUCAACUCCGCGUGGUCGCUUCAAACUGUCUAUUUAGAAGCAUUCUCAAUUACUCUUUCAUUCUCUUCUGUUUGUGAAAACCAUCUCUUCCAUGUUAUAUUAAAAAUAAAAA